CCGAUAGCUGAAAGAAGCGGUAGCAAAUUUCCGGACCGACGAACAGGAAUCGUCUCAGGCCGCGGCGGCGGACAAGCGUGCAUGAUAACGCGAAGUCCUGUAACCAGACGGAAGCCACUGAGGUAAAGACGGCGGUUAUGGAAAGAAAGACAGU
rnacentral:ncRNA from 1 species